rnacentral:lncRNA from 1 species
AAACAGUACUACUAUCAUUUCUUGGGAGGAGCUUGAAGAAGUAAAAUAAGUGUUUAGUAGAAUGGAUAUUCACAAUAGUGGGUAAGUCCGUGACUAUGAACUUCAAGACCUAUUUAAGGUUAAGCAAGCCUUCCUAUGCCUGGCUACAAGGUAUAAGAGAAAAUUCUAGCAGUUGCUGACAACAACCAAGAUGGCAAAAUCAGUUUGAAAAAUUUGUGUUACUGAUGCAAUAAUUAAAAAGGAAAGACUGUAGUCUUAUACAUGAAGCAUCUUAUACCCAUGAACCUCAAUGAUGGCAGUAUCUUCAAGUUACUUGCAGAUCUCAUCCUUCUUUGCAAAAUGAUCAAUUUAUUUGAACCAGAUACAACUGAUGAAAGAGCCAUUAAUAAAAAGCUCGCCGCUUUCACUCUUUCUGAAAAUUUAAACCUAACCCAAAGUCUGUCUCGACCAUUAGUUGUACAGUGGUCAACAUCAGUGCACAGAAUCUCAAAGAAGGAAAACCUCACUUGGUCUUAGGACUUCUCUGGCAGAUCAUCUAAGUUGGUCUUUUUGAUGAUAUUGAGAUUUCUAGGAAUGAAGCUCUGAUUGCAUUGCUAAAUGAAGGUGAGGAACUAGAGAUGCUGAUGUAGCUUUCUCCUGAGGAAUUACUGCUGUAAUGGGUGAAUCAUCAUCUGGCUGAUGCAGGAUGGUGUACCAUCAACAACUUCAGCCAAGGCAGUAAGGAUUCAAGAGCCUAUUUUCAUCUGCUUACACAAAUUGACCCUAAAGGUGACUGGGAAUAUGGACUUUUCAGUCCAUCUUCAGGAUUUCAUAAGAAAAAUGAUUUGAAGUGUGCUGGACUUAUGCUUCAAGAAGUAGAUAAACUUGGCUGCAGUUUGUUACUCCUGCAGAUGUGGUUUCAGGCCAUCCUAAACUUAAUUUAGCUUUCAUAGUUAAUCUGUUUAAUAUCUAUCCAUGCCUACACAAGUUAGAUAAUAAUGACAUCAAUAUAAACUUAUUGGAGGGAGAGAGCAAAGAAGAGAGGACAUUUCAGAACUGGUGCAUUCCUUAGGAAUCAACCCAUAUAUUAAUCAUUUGUAGUUACCUUGCAGAUGCUUUAGCAAUCUUUCAGCUCUAUGAUACAAUCUGAGUGUCAGUCAACUGGAGCCAUGUCAACAAACCUCCUUAUCCUGCCCUUGGAGGGAACAUAAACAUUGAUAACUAACUAUACAGUGGAACUUGGGAAGAAUAAGGCCAAAUUCUUCUUCGUUGGCAUUGCUGGGCAGGACCUAAAUGAAGGGAAUUCAACAUUUAUUCUGGCAUUGGUUAUGGCAGCUGAUGAGAGGGUACACACUGAAUAUGAACAAAACCAAAUUCUCCUUCGUUGGCAUUGCUUGGCAGGACCUAAAUGAAGAGAAUUCAACAUUUAUUCUGGCAUUGGUUAUGGCAGCUGAUGAGAAGGUACACAUUGAAUAUGUUAUCAGAUCUUGGAAAGGUUGAAAGUGCACUUUUAAAAGUACAAAUAAAAAUACUUUUAUUUCCAGCUUCAAGAUAUGCCACUUCAGUUGGUUGUGAGAUCAGUGCCCAGAUAUAUGCAUUGCGUGUUGACCUUGUGGAAGCGAAACCAAAAAUGGUUAUGUCAGUGUUUUCUUGUUUAAUGGGAAAAGGACUGAACAGAAUAAAA